rnacentral:lncRNA from 1 species
CGCCGAUGGGAAUCCUAUCGGCGAUGAUUCCAAGCCCGCGGGGACCCCAGCAAGUGCAUAUGCCAUGGGCUCGGGCCACGUCGACCCGUUGGCGGCCAACGACCCGGGCCUCGUCUAUGACCUUCAUUACUAUGAUUAUAUCCAUUACCUCUGCGGCAUGGGCUUCACUGACGCACAAGUCGGAGCCAUCGGUCGCGGUUCGGUGCAGUGUUCUAAGGUCCGGGCGAUCAGCCCGGAACAGCUGAACUAUCCUUCUAUGGCGGUGUACCUAAGUGCUAGUACGACCCAGGUGACGGUCGACCGAACGGUGACGAAUGUCGGGGACGCCGUUUCGACCUACGAGGUGAAGUACGACGAACCGGAAGGAGUGAGAGUUGAAGUUACGCCUGAUACGCUGCAAUUCUCCCGAGCCGGGCAGAUGAAGGAUUUUCAAGUGACAUUAAGCGUCGAGCCCGGGAGCCCAACAGUUAGGAUGGCGGGGCAAGUUUUUGAGGGGCAAAUGGCGUGGGUCUCCGGAAAGUACUACGUAAGGAGUCCUAUUGCCGUCACAAUCCAGUGAAACACGGUAUUACUUCUCGAGUCCCAUGUGCAAAACAACGUACUAGUUCUUUCCCCGGCGUGUAAAAAAGAAAACAUAAUAUAAAAUAAAUAAAAAACAUGUUUGUCUACCAAAAGGCUCUACUUCGUGGAAACUAAGAUUCUUCUUCUUUUUUCUUGUUUGUUUUUGUUUUUUUCUUUUUUUUUUCUUUUUUUAUUAUUAUUAUUAUGGUGUCUGAUCAGAUGAAGCAAUCGGACUGAGCCCAGUUUGAGUGGAGUGUGCACUCCGAGAAACCAACUACAAUCCAUUCCUCGUGGGUCAACAGAGCAAAAUUAUUGCCUAAAAAUAGCCGUACAAGUAAAUAAAAGGUCAAAAAAGUAUGGGAACAAAAGUAGUGAAAACCAAAGAUUCUCGAAUUACGCCCAUAUUCUACCAAGCGCGACAAAAGUUAAACAUUUUUCAAGUAUCCUAUACAAAACCAGCAAAUACAACUAGAAAUUCUUGUUUUUAAACUUUCGAAUAUUUGAAAUUGAGUGAAUUUUCUGAAAUAAAGUAGAGGCAUUAUCAAGUUCAUCUAUGGUCUCAUCAAUUUAAUAAUUUUAAUUAUUUUUUAGCAAAUAAAAUUAGGACAGUUAAUGGCUAAUAUCUAGAUGAGCUAUUAAUUGUUUUUUUUUUGGAAAAAAAACAUUAGCUAAAUUAAUUAGAACAACUAAAAGAAAUUAGAAAUUAGUGAGGCGUUCAUUCCGAAAAAGUGGAGGCGCCUAUUUUAUAGAUGAGUGGGGGGCCUGCAAACAAUUAUAUAUCUUAAUUAAUUAACAACUAUCCUGACCGGACUCCAAAUAAAUUAAAAAGAAAUAACGAAAUGAUCGCAUCCAAAACCCUGCGAUAACACACCAGUAAAAGAACAUUUGUAUGCUCAACCUUUUCAACAACCCCUAAUAUAAAAAUAUCCAGAAGAAAUUAAGAUAUCAAAUAGAACCUAUUAUUUUAGUAACAUGACCUCUCACUUACCUUCCCCCCCCAGGAGCAUGACGACCGUGGAAGAAGAGAAGGAUAGCAAGAAGAAUAGUGUAAAGAUAGAGGAGGCCAAAGAAGAAGGGGAUGAUUCCGACGAUGAUUGUUACGAGAUCGAUCCCAUCGACUUCGCCCGCAUACUCACCUUGAAAGUCUCUGAUGAAGUUGUUCUUGUUUCUGAGAAGGAACCAGUAAGAAAUCAAUCUCUACCCCCUUAAUUCUACCACCAUAAUCAAAGUUUUAAAACUAAAGGGCGAUUCGAUACUUAAAACCCGAUUGAAUUAUAUGAUGUUGAUCACUACAAUAGGUUGCACUGAGGGACUUCCCCCAUCCAAGGCACCUGUGUGCGAAUUUCCCCUUCAACACUUCUCCCCAUGAGAGUUACUGCAGCCAGGUUCCUUUUUUUUUUUUUUUUUCUUUUGAAGUGUUUCUUGAUCAAAUUUCUCAUCUUAUUUGUUCACUGGUAUGGUUUGUAUUAUGUGAAAAUUUUGUCACAGAGGUAAUGAAAUAGAAAGGUACUAUCACCUUGUAUGAUACAAUAUUGGAUACCCCAACUCCCUGGGGGGGGGGGCACGUUAUGGUUAGAAACUUAAACAUUUUAAGUUCCUGUAGCCUACUAUGCCUGGAAAUCAGGCUAACUUGGGGAGGCAAUCUAAAUUCUAAACUUGCUGCACUUUUUAUGACAAUGAAUCAUCCAUUGAUAUCAUGGUAAGUUUACUACUAUAAUCCUUUGCCCUUUGGACUCAUCUAAUAUGUUUAAUAAAGGAAACAUACAGGACAUAUGAACAUUGCAUGCUUGCAUUUGCUUUAUGAAGAAAAAGGGGACUAAAAUACAAAGAUUUUGCCAUAGCCACAUAAAGUUGAAGGAAUAAAGCUCGACGUACCUUAGAAUAUGCUCCAAAAUAAACUGCUUGCUUGCUUGCGGAUAACGCCAGUUAUCCUCUCAUAAAUUGCACACUGGACAGCAUCUUCAGUACAUUUUGGUGUACUGAUAAAAAAAAAUGCUCAAAAUAGAGGACUUAUGAAUACCCUGAAUUCAUCAUGAUUUUAGAUAUCGUAAGACAUUGCAAAGCAUGCUUCCGAAAGUUAAAUGAGAAUUGUACAUACUUGAUUCACGGGUACCCUUCAGAAGUCUCAGCAACAUCUGACAGUUGUUUAUGUCUGAUGCAGUGUUUUUGUUACGUCUGCGAAGUAGCUGCUCCCUGUAAGCAGUGGGAAGGAACAGAUGGGCAUUGCAAUGUAUCGAAGAAGUAAUAAAGGAGAUUUUAGAAGACUUGGUAAGGACUUCCCGGAGAGGGCAGAAUUUUAAGUCUGCUGAUAUAUAGAACCCUUGCUCUGUUCCAAGAGGAUUUGUGGGAUAUCUUAAGAAAGUUAAAUGUUUUGGCGGUUUAUUGCUAAAGGCUCUUUCAUACCAGGAACUGAUAAAUACCAUCACGAGUUGAUGAGGAAUCAGUGGAAUUUAACUUCUUUCAAAUUAAUUAAGACAUAAACACGGGCAUAUCACAAGUACGUCCGACCCCACGAAACUAUUAUACUUGGGAUUCUCGCUAUUCGUAGAAUUUUUUCCAAGUGAAAUUUCUCUCUGUUCUAUCAUGCAUGCUUGGCGGUCUCGCAGGGCACUGUCUCAACACUAUUCCUUCAACCAAAGAUUACGAAGAGGGGGAAGGAAAAAAAAUCGAGAUGUUUAAAGUAACUUUUAUCUAUUCCAGUUAAGCAAACUACGGUUUUGGCCAAGUGCAUAGUGCUGCAAAACUAGGCAACAACCUUACUAGCUAGAAUAUCUUUCCUUAACAAAAGAGAAGAGCAUAUCUAACACGACUAAAAUCAAACACAGAGACUGGAUUUCUACAAUUACAUUGUUCCCGAAUAAUUUCAUAAAAUUAACACAAGGACAAUAUUAGCACAUUGGCACCGACUUCGCUUACACAUUCAAAUGAUCAACUGCAGAAAAAUUACAGCAACACAAACAUAAUACAAAACAGACUAGCUAACUUUGUGGAAGUAUUAAGUAACGGAGAUAAUCAAUCAAGUAUCAUCAUCAUAAGAGGCAUGGAAGUCCGUAGAACAACCUGGGGCAUCUGGAUCCUCGGCGCCGCAGCAGUCGUAGAACUUGGCAGCAUAAGGCGGAUCAUCCGGUCCAAGCUCGUAGUACCUUCGAUCAACAAGAAUAAAAGAAUCGGGAUGGAUCUAUUUAAUCCAUCGAUUUGAACAGGUUGGCUUAACUAUUGGCUUAACUAUUCAGAUUAAGAAAAAGAAGACGAGAGAGAGAGAGAGAGAGAGAGAGAGAGAGAGAGAGAGAGAGAGAUCGAUCGUAGUGUGGUUAGUGUUUAGGGUUUAGGGAUUAGUUGGUGACCUCUUCUGGUCGUCGUGGCGUCGGCAAACGAAGAAGGAUGGGUGGAAACUGCAGGAGGAGGGCGUGUUUUCGGAGGGAUCGAAGCGGCGCUUGCAUCGCCGACACAGCUUCUCCACCGCAGCAGCAACCACCACGACCUCCCCUGCUUCCGACAUCUUCUUUCUUUCUUCCUUUCUUUCUUUCUUUCCUCGCUCGUCGCCCGCCCAUCUUUCCCCCAACUCGCUCUCCCCCUCCCUCUCCGCCCCUUGUCUUCUCUGAUCCCCGAGCCACGCGUCGUCACGAGGCCCAUAUAUAUAGAUAAGGCCGGCUUCUUGGGCCGGCCCAUUGUGACGCGGGUGCCAGCGGAUCGGACGGUUCAGAAAGUUUAGGUCAGGCCCGCUCCCCGAUCAAACUAAACUGAAAACUCGCAGGGAUUGCGAUUGCGGAGUCAUGAGCUUUUGAAAAGAACUUCCUUGGUUGGGAUUGUAGAAAAAUUAUGUUACGUGAAGUUAGAAAAUGCGAUUAAAAAUUAUGAUGUUUAUUUUCGUACGUAAUAUUACAUUCCGCAUAUCGCGAUUAGUCGGUUAAGAUAUAUUUUUUACGGUUCUAUCGGAGAACGCAAAAGUAUAUUCCUAUAUAUUUUUAUCCCAUCUUUAUUUUAUCUAAUAGCAUUAAAUAACUUUGGACGUUCCUAUAGAAAAUAGGAUUAGAGUAGGAACUGGUGACCUACCUAGAGAAAAUAGGACUAGAGGUUGAACUGGCUUUUUGGCAUUCAGUUUAUUCUUGUUUAAGUAUUUUAGUUUUAGGAACAAAGCAGUGGAACACCCAAAUAUCAUCUCAAGUAAAAGUAACUACCAGACAACAGAAAAUUACGGCAGGGACAUUAAGGACUUCACCUUCAUGAGCAGCAAUCUCAGACAGAUAAGUUGCAUUGUGCCUUGUGUUUUCACUCGGGUCAGUGAAUUCAAUGAUUAAGCCGUACUUUCCAAUCUGCAUGUCAGAACAAAAAAUUUACUCAAAUAGAAACUUUUAUAACUAAAAAUUCUUAAACAACAUAUGGAACUAAAAUAAUGACAUAGAACACCUGAAAUAAAGACAUAGAACAGACAAGUAAAGCAGAACCUGUUAAUUGACAAGAUAAUAAGUAAUUCUUAGUGCAUCUUUGUUGGAAGAAGAAUUUGAGGAACACUUGUAAUUAAAAUAGCAUAUUAUUCAGGGGUUGAUUAUGUAGAUCAUGACAUACUAAUAAUUCCUAUAUAUUUAAGGCCUAUUAGUUGGUAAAAGAUAUACUUUCUCAUUUGACAAUCAUUUUGUAGUUUGAUCCUCAGCUUGCCUCUUUGCUGUACCAGAUGGGGUGUUUAACUUGCCUCUCACAAAUAAAUUACUCAUACAAAGUUUCACAUCUAUUCCUACAAAGUUUUUUUUUUUUGAGAGAUUAUUCCUACAAAGUUUGAACUAUAAAAUUUGUAUAAUCUUGAUAGUCAAAUACAUUUCUCUAACAUUUAAAAGUAUGCAAAAUUUUAUUCGUGCAGGUUGACUAUUGUAAGUUCACGCACGGUGGAAAUAUACUUAAAAAUAAUUUUUAUUUAAGAGUAGGCCAUUUUGAAAAAGAAAAAGUUAACUUUAAACAUUCAACUAAUGGAGAGGAUGCAUUUCCAAACUAUGCACUAUGGAGAAACAUAUUUCAAGACUAAAAUUUUGGAGGAGUAAUUAUGUAUUCAACUACUUUACAGUUUACAGUGAUAAUAAUAUGCAUGAAAAAAAAAUUUGAAAAAAGAAUAUCAUAUAAGUGAUUGUAAUAAUUAGUAGUAUAACUGGGAGAUUUUCCAAAUUUCCCUGUACGUAUUGGCAUGUGCAUGGGAACUUCGGCAUUGGCACCUCUUCUAUGAAAAGGUGAAUAAGCUGGUGUAUCUAUUAUUGCGUUCAACAAAACGCCCGUAUUGCCAUUUGCAGCUAUACAUGUAUGUAGUUCAAAAAGCACUUGAUUUGGAACUAGGUAGAAGAAAACACUUCUGGGUCUUUGGAUUCGUCUAGCACGAUUAGAGAGAAGGAGAGAGAGUUCACUUAUUGCAUUUCAUAAUUCAUAUAAGUGCACCGCAUGGCAUCACUUACUACGGAUCAUUAUUAGUUAUCCAUAAUGUAACCUGUUUUCCAUAAUUAAUCAAAUUAUUUCUCGCAACGAUUUGUCCGUGCAAGGUUGUUUCUUGCGAACAUUUGGAAAGGAUCCUAUUUAAGGACCAUAUGCCUCUCCUCUUUGCAAGCACACCUUCUCUAUUGCGUUGCUACCAUGGAAAUUUUACACUCAAUCUUCUACUUGCUUAUUUCUUUUUCCUUCUUCCUAUCCAAUCCAACUCUUCUCUUGGUUCACUGCCAAAUAAAGCCCAUUUCAAAUGACACCCAAAUGCAGGUCUAUAUUGUUCAUGUACAAAAGCCUGACAGCACGAGCUUCCGUCGGUUCAAGGAUCGGAAAGAGUGGUACGCGUCCUUCUUGCCCAACACCACCCUCGACUCCGGCAAGCCGCGCAUGGUCUACGCGUACCGCCAAGCGAUCAGCGGCUUCGCAGCGUGGCUCACCUCUCAAGAAGUAGAAGCCAUGAAAUCUACGGAUGGCGUUCUCGUAGCCUACCCCGACAGCGAGUAUGAUGCUCAAACCACCUACACCCCGGAGUUCCUAGGACUAAACGCAUGGGAGGACGGCGUUUGGUACGACUCUCAAUACGGGGCGGGGCAAAUCAUCGGGGUUAUCGACACCGGAUUUAAGCCCGGUCAUCCUUCCUUCAGGGAUACUGAUGUAAAUCCGCCGCCAGAGACGUGGAACGGAAGCUGCUACUGGAAACAUUCCGUGUGCAACAACAAGCUCAUCGGUGCAGUGGGAUACAAGCAUGGGCGCACCGUCUCACCUGAAGACAAGAACGGUCAUGGAACCCACACAGCGAGCACAGCUGCGGGGAAUUUCGUGGAUGAUGCUCACGUACUCGGCAUGGCACGCGGCACGGCGUCAGGGACGGCACCUAAAGCUCAUCUAGCAAUCUAUAAGGUGCUACACAUCACCAAAACUGCGAGUACUGGUACGGUUGUCAAAGCGCUUGUUAGUGACACAUUGAGGGGCAUCGACGAAGCGAUCCGGAAUCACGUAAAUGUGCUAUCCAUGUCCCUCGGGUUGGAGAAGCAACGGCUGCAUGCGGACUCUAUUGCCAUAGGAUCAUACGCAGCAAUCACCAAAGGGAUCGUCCCGGUGGCCGCUGCCGCAAAUGCAGGCCCCUUCGCGAGUGUCAUAGCGAAUGAUGCGCCGUGGAUACUUACCGUCGGAGCAAGCACUACAGACAGGAGGAUAAGGGCCAUUGUCAAGCUCGGAAACGGUAUGGAGCUCUUCGGCGAAACAGCAUACCAGCCGGAGGGAUUCAACUCGACUCAGCUACCGUUGGUUUAUCCAGGGGUGCGAAAGACGCAAAAGACCUUGAAUUGCUUGAACGGCUCCAUGGACACUUUCGAUGUUAAAGGGAAAAUCGUGUUGUGCGGGGUUGGACAUAUUACAAACAUCGAAAAGGGUGAGAUCGUUAAGGCGGCAGGCGGUGCGGCGAUGAUACUAAUGAACCAGCCGUGGAAUGGGAACACGACGUUCUCCGAACCCCACGUCAUCCCGACGGCCCAUGUGAGCUUCAGCGAUGCGUGGAAGAUCAUCACGUACUUCAACUCCACGCCUAACGGAACAGCAGCAAUCACCUUCAACGGCACACAAUACGGCGUUCAACCAUCACCCUCGGUGGCUUACUUCUCGUCUCGCGGCCCUAGCCUCAUGAACGGCAACAUCAUCAAGCCGGACGUCAUCGCACCGGGCGUCAACAUUCUAGCCGCUUGGCCGUUCGAGGUAGGACCUAAACCCAACCACACCCUUCCGCCCACAACUCACACAUUCAACUUCGAAUCGGGAACGUCGAUGGCGACCCCUCACGUGGCCGGCAUUGUGGCAAUGUUAAAGAAUAACCAUCCUGAUUGGUCUCCCGCCGCCAUUAAGUCGGCAAUAAUGACUACAGCUUACACAGUCGACGUCAAUGGGAAGCCUAUCGGCGACGAUUCCAAGCCCACGGGGACCCCAGCUAGUGCAUACGCCAUGGGCUCGGGCCACGUCGACCCGACGGCGGCCAACGAUCCAGGCCUAGUCUAUGACCUUCACCAUCAAGAUUAUAUCCAUUACCUCUGCGGCAUGGGCUUCACCGACAAACAAGUCGAAGCCAUCGGCCGCGGUAAGGUGCAGUGUUCUAAGGUCCGCGCGAUCAGCCCGGAACAGCUGAACUAUCCUUCUAUUGCCGUGUACCUAAGUGCUAAUACGACCGAGGUGACGGUCAACCGAACGGUGACGAAUGUCGGGGACGCCGUCACGACCUAUGAGGUGAAGUACGACGAACCGGAAGGAGUGAGAGUCGAAGUUAUGCCUGAUAUGCUGGAAUUCUCGCGUGCCGGGCAGAUGAAGGAUUUUCGAGUCAAGUUGAGC